GACGUAGGGCGCGAGCGUUGUCCGGAUUUAUUGGGCGUAAAGAGCUCGUAGGCGGCUUGUUGCGUCGACCGUGAAAACCCGGGGCUUAACUUCGGGCUUGCGGUCGAUACGGGCAGGCUAGAGUUCGGUAGGGGAGACUGGAAUUCCUGGUGUAGCGGUGAAAUGCGCAGAUAUCAGGAGGAACACCGGUGGCGAAGGCGGGUCUCUGGGCCGAUACUGACGCUGAGGAGCGAAAGCGUGGGGAGCGAACAGG
rnacentral:rRNA from 1 species